AAGCCAACCAGUAAGUCUGCUCACCUGAGUGGGUUUCUGCAGAAAUUUAGAGAGCUGCCACGAGGAAGGCCAUGUUAUAAGCCUUAAAGACACUGAAGUCAUUAAGGCCCCUGAAAAUCGCUUAAAGA